rnacentral:rRNA from 1 species
CCUACGGGUGGCAGCAGUGAGGAAUAUUGGUCAAUGGGCGCGAGCCUGAACCAGCCAAGUCGCGUGAGGGAUGACGGCCCUACGGGUUGUAAACCUCUUUUGCCGGGGAGCAACGGGCGCCACGUGUGGCGUCACUGAGAGUACCCGGAGAAAAAGCAUGGCUAACUCCGUGCCAGCAGCCGCGGUAAUACGGGGGAUGCGAGCGUUAUCCGGAUUUAUUGGGUUUAAAGGGUGCGUAAGCGGAGUGUUAAGUCAGUGGGAAAAUUUGGGGGCUCAACCCAUUACCGCCAUUGAAACUGGCGAUCUUGAGUGGAAGAGAAGUAUGCGGAAUGCGUGGUGUAGCGGUGAAAUGCAUAGAUAUCACGCAGAACCCCGAUUGCGAAGGCAGCAUGCCGGCUUCCGACUGACGCUGAAGCACGAAAGCGUGGGGAUCGAACAGGAUUAGAUACCCGGGUAGUC